AUUGAACGCUGGCGGCAUGCCUUACACAUGCAAGUCGAACGGUAACGGGCCUUCGGGUGCCGACGAGUGGCGAACGGGUGAGUAAUGCAUCGGAACGUACCUUUCAGUGGGGGAUAACGUAGCGAAAGUUACGCUAAUACCGCAUAUUCUGUGAGCAGGAAAGCAGGGGAUCGCAAGACCUUGCGCUGAUUGAGCGGCCGAUGUCAGAUUAGCUAGUUGGUGAGGUAAAGGCUCACCAAGGCGACGAUCUGUAGCGGGUCUGAGAGGAUGAUCCGCCACACUGGAACUGAGACACGGUCCAGACUCCUACGGGAGGCAGCAGUGGGAAUUUUGGACAAUGGGGGCAACCCUGAUCCAGCCAUGCCGCGUGAGUGAAGAAGGCCUCGGGUU
rnacentral:rRNA from 1 species